rnacentral:rRNA from 1 species
GAUGAACGCUGGCGGCGUGCCUAAUACAUGCAAGUCGAGCGAACAGAUGAGGAGCUUGCUCCUCUGACGUUAGCGGCGGACGGGUGAGUAACACGUGGAUAACCUACCUAUAAGACUGGGAUAACUUCGGGAAACCGGAGCUAAUACCGGAUAAUUUAUUGAACCGCAUGGUUCAAUAGUGAAAGACGGUUUUGCUGUCACUUAUAGAUGGAUCCGCGCCGCAUUAGCUAGUUGGUAAGGUAACGGCUUACCAAGGCAACGAUGCGUAGCCGACCUGAGAGGGUGAUCGGCCAAACUGGAACUGAGACACGGUCCAGACUCCUACGGGAGGCAGCAGUAGGGAAUCUUCCGCAAUGGGCGAAAGCCUGACGGAGCAACGCCGCGUGAGUGAUGAAGGUCUUCGGAUCGUAAAACUCUGUUAUUAGGGAAGAACAAAUGUGUAAGUAACUAUGCACGUCUUGACGGUACCUAAGCAGAAAGCCACGGCUAACUACGU